GUUGUGGCUCAGUGGUAGAGUGCUUACCUCGCAUGUGUGAGACUCUGGGUUCGAUUCUCAGCACGACA
rnacentral:tRNA from 1 species